rnacentral:tRNA from 1 species
CCGACCUUAGCUCAGUUGGAAGAGCACAAGACUGUAAAUCUUGGGGUCGCCUGUUCGAACCAGGCAGGUCGGA